rnacentral:rRNA from 1 species
AUUGAACGCUGGCGGCAUGCUUUACACAUGCAAGUCGAACGGCAGCGCGGGCUUCGGCCUGGCGGCGAGUGGCGAACGGGUGAGUAAUACAUCGGAACGUGCCCAGUAGUGGGGGAUAGCUCGGCGAAAGCCGGAUUAAUACCGCAUACGACCUGAGGGUGAAAGCGGGGGAUCUUCGGACCUCGCGCUAUUGGAGCGGCCGAUGGCAGAUUAGCUAGUUGGUGGGGUAAAGGCCUACCAAGGCGACGAUCUGUAGCUGGUCUGAGAGGACGACCAGCCACACUGGGACUGAGACACGGACCAGACUCCUACGGGAGGCAGCAGUGGGGAAUUUUGGACAAUGGGCGAAAGCCUGAUCCAGCAAUGCCGCGUGUGUGAUGAAGGCCUUCGGGUUGUAAAGCACUUUUGGCGGGAACGAAAAGGACUGUGCCAAUACCACGGUUCGAUGACGGUACCCGCAGAAUAAGCACCGGCUAACUACGUG